CCUACGGGAGGCAGCAGUGGGGAAUAUUCCACAAUGGGCGAAAGCCUGAUGGAGCAACGCCGCGUGAGCGAUGAAGGCCUUCGGGUCGUAAAGCUCUGUCCUCAAGGAAGAUAAUGACGGUAAGUGAGGAGUACGCCCCGGCUAACUACGUGCCAGCAGCCGCGGUAAUACGUAGGGGGCUAGCGGUGUCCGGAUUUACUGGGCGUAAAGGGUGCGUAGGUGGUUUGUUAAGUCAGCAGUGAAAGGCUACGGCUCAACCGUAGUAAGCCUUUGAAACUGGUGAACUUGAGUGCAGGAGGGGAGAGUGGAAUUCCUAGUGUAGCGGUGAAAUGCGUAGAUAUUAGGAGGAACACCAGUGGCGAAGGCGGCUCUCUGGACUGUAACUGACGCUGAGGCACGAAAGCGUGGGGAGCAAACAGGAUUAGAUACCCCAGUAGUC
rnacentral:rRNA from 1 species